AGGCUCGAUAAAAGUAGUACGCAAAACUGCCGCUGAAGGCGUUGUUCAAACUUGUUCAGACACGCAAAUUGGCGCCAAGAGCGUGAUCCGUGGCGCGAUCCGCGUGAUCACUUCUUUUUGUGUUAUUUGUUUUGUUUUAUGUAUCUCAAGUUUUACCCCAGUGCACAUUGUGGACAUGUAUUUGAGUCGAUGUGUUCGAAAAAGUUUUGAAAAAUCUUGUCAUCGUUUCUCGAGAUCAAUACGUCCCUUCUAUAUAGUUCUACGUAUGCGGCCGCAAGGAAAAACGUCCUGGUUUCGCCGACCCCAUACGUCAAUCAAAAUUGUGGUUAGACAUUCGUACGAGUGGAACUAAGCCUCGGACCUUGUCACCGAUGACUCGCGAGCGCGCUGUGGGUCGACAAAUCAUUUGAUGACGCGGCAACUUUAUCAUCAUUUCGCUUCUCUCAUAUCGAGGGAGUCCCGAUCAACUGAUCGAUCUUUCGACGACUCUCUAAUCGUGUCGUAAACCAUCACGUUUGCCCAUCGCAUCUUACUUGCGCGAGGACUCGGGGGAACUAACAAAAACCUUCACCAAUCGGCUUCAUUCUUACUAGAUUCAAGUGUGUUGGAACUAUUGGAAAUCCAGAAAUCCAGAAAAACUCCCUCCUGGUUAAGUAUCGGUGUACAAGCAGUCGCUUACGCUGACGAUCAUCCAUCUUGGCCCUGGUUUCGUCAGGAGCUACGAUACUUGAGAGAUCUCUCAGAAACUCGACGCUUAGUUAUCGCUGUCGAUCCCUCAUGGCGUUCAGCAGACUUCGAAAACGUUGGAGUCCUUCAAUUUGCCUUGAAAAGCCGUGAUUUUGCUGCAUCACAGAGCCCUUCGUUCCACCUCGUACACACAUUCGUUGCUUCUUUUUUCGAGGCUGGAAAGACGCGUGUUGUUCUCUCUGCACGGUAGCCGGCGUAGCAUGCGCCCGAUUUCCCAUCGUUCUCCGUUUCUUCGCGCCUCAACUAUCUCCAGCAAAAUGCCAACCUGACAAACCUUCAAAGGGAAGAGGAAGAAGGAACAGGAGCGAGAUAGAAGAAGAAAAGGAAGCAGGGAGAAGACGACAGAGUGAGAAAAGGAUGAGAGAAAGUUAGACAAAAAUUCGACAUCUGUCGCGUGAACGAGCCAUCGAUACUUCGACAUACUUUUGUCUCCCUUUCCCGCAGCCGUAAGAUCCGGAACAUCCUUGAGAGUUGGCAAAGACAACGGAUUCGCGAAGGGACAAACCCUCGAGAGAUACAAGCAGCACGAGAGUUCGCUGGGAUGGAUUCGAGAUGACGGACCAUUCGCUUCAGCCGUACCCCCAGCCGUAGCUUGUCUCUCAAAGUAUCUCGAAAUAUGAGAGAAUUUUUGGAAUCCCCCGGAGUCAUUCGGAUAAUUCUUUCACGCUCACGUGAAAGAUGACGGAAACGUAUUUGGAAUAAGAGGGGAAAAUCGAAUGUAUUUCUCGUCGCAUAUGACGGUGCAGCGUCGAAGUACGACGAAAACGAGAGAAAGGGGAGAGAGAAUUUCGCGGAAGUCUCUUUGACCUCGCAUCCACCGCCUCCACCGCGCCACCUGUUUAAUUUCACGUUCAAUUAUCACUGAAUUGGGAGCUCUUAAUUCAACGCGAAAUAGACUAUGGAUGCUUCGUAUAUGUAGUCAAACGGAAGCGGAGGGACGGAGGGGAAGGAAGAUUUAUAAGAGGAAUAAGACGAAGAUGGAGGAUGACAAGGUAGGAUUCCUGAAAGGCAAAUAUCUCGCGACGCCCGCGGCUCUUGGAGAUUCUGAUGUACGAGGAAGAAGACGAGUGAGAAGGGGAAAUGACGAGCAAGAGAGAGGGAGAAAGAUGGGGAACAAGAUGAGGAGAAGACGUGAGAGAAUCGCUUCGGUUUGUUGGCGAGGUUGCUGAUGGUCUCGGUCGACUAUACCAGAAGAGUGUGAGAGAGCUAGCGAGAGGGGGAUGCAAGAUUGAAGGAAUGAUUCGCCUGAUUUAUGAAUAAUGUAGAUGUACAAAAGCUCGAUACAACGGAGAAAGUUGUCGAAUUUAUGGGUCAACGACAAGUUUCUACUCUCAUUGUUUCGUCGAUUUUCUGGCUGGUUUAUUCGACACCGAAAAAGGUUUUCGAGGGCCCUUCCAUGGGGGUACCUGAGUGUGCGUUUUCGGAGUUUGAAUUUCUUUUGCGCGAGAGAUACUUUUUCAAGGACUCGUCGUAUUAUUCGGUAUCAUCAUGAAGAUAUCGAUUUAUGAGUGAUGUCGAAGGCUCUCCAUUGUCCGUGAAAAGAGGAGGGCGAAGGAUAAAAAGCUCACUUGGUUCACUACUUGGAGAGGACGUCUGAAAGACCUUCGUGAAAAAUUUAAUCAACGGUGCAUCGAAGAAGAAAGUUCCUUGAAGCUUUCAUCCUGACGGUUCCUCAGCUCGAUGAUAAUUUCUUAAACACCCUGUAUGCACAGGAAAGAAUAAUCUUCACAGGAAUUCGACUGAUUAUUUUGGUGACCGAGUGUGAGUUUCGUAGAAAAAAAAUACGAAUGAGCGAGCGGGAACGAGGCAGAGGGGAGGAAGGAAAGAGAUGAAGCGAGGAAAAACGAAUGACGCGAAAAGCAUGCAGCCCUUAUUACUUCCGGGGGUGGAAACAGAGUAGAUGAGGGAAUCCAUCGUUCGACUCGUUUAAGUAUACAGGAGAGAUCCGCCAUCUCCAGGUCUCACUUCGACGCCUCGGCUUACCGAAGGAGGAGGAGGAGGAGGAGUGGAGGAAAAAACUGGUGGAAAAGAUGGGAACGCAUUAACUGACGGAUUAACGUCGUUGGAUGGAGCGCCAGCGGCCACCAUCUAAAAUGAAUUAUUUAUGGGUGUACCGAACUUUUGGAGCUCGUUCCAAGAGAGCGAUGUCGUUAAAGUUACGGGACUCCCCGUUGCCCAUUGGUCACAUUAGAAUUUCUACCGGCGUACGUGAAGCGGUGGGAAGGAAGAAAAUUAAUUUACACGUUUUCCGUCUCGUCAUAUUCUAUUAUUCAAAUAGUUUCUCUGUGAGAAAGUCGUGUCCUCCGGACUCGUUUCUUUUUCCAACAUCGUGGCAACUCGAACCACACGUGAAAGUUUAUCUAAUUUUUUUUUCAUAUUUUUUCUCUUUGUUAUCGGUUAACCAAAGCGUAUAGAGACUGAUGACACACAGUGUUUCCGUGUCACGAAAAAAAUCGAGGUAUCGAGUAACCCAUUGAGACGCGAACAGGACGUAAAAAAGGGGAGAGAGGGAAAAAAACAAUUAGAGGAUCGUUGAAAAACACAAGGCUGUCAGAUAUUCAAUAUACUUGUGCGUACACAAUAUGGCCAGGAUAACGGAGUAAAAAGUGAGGAUAGCUGAAAAAGUAUUUUCCAUGCACAGAUAGUUGAAUGCAGAGAACGUUUAAAUAA